rnacentral:lncRNA from 1 species
AUGCCCGGAGUGGAAAGCGGCUCUUGGAGCAGGGCCUUGGCACCUGGGGGCCACCUGGGCUGCCUAGGUGCGACGCGGACGUUCACGUGGAGGGGCUGGGGCUGGCAAUGCGGCUGCGCACGGCUGCGCAAGAAGGGUGCGCGCAGCAAGGUGUGCGCAGGAGGGUGUGCAGGGGAGGUGUGCGCGGGAGGGUGCGCACAGGAGCGCAUGCACUGUCGUGCAUUAGAAGGUGCGCACAGGAGGGAGUGUGCACAGGAGGGUGUGCACUGCAGGUGCGCGGCGGCAGGUGUGCACAGGACGGCGUGCACAGGCGGGCACACGAGGGUGCGCCCAGCGGUGUCCCCGCGUUGCUGUCCCCGCCCCCUCGUCCCCUCCUGCCCCGCCCACCUCCCCGCCCACCCCGCCUUCGCCCCGCCCCGCCCGAUCCCUCGGCCCUCAUUGGCUAGCCGCCCCGACCCGCGGGGCCAAUCGGGGCGCGGCGGGGAGGGGGCGGGGCUUGGCGGCGGGACCCCGCCCUCCGCCCGCCGGAAGCAGCGGCGUCGCCGGGGACGCGGUGAGCGAGGCCUCAAAGGCCUGGGGGGGGGGGUCUUCCCUGCCCUCCGUGGCCAUUUUGGGCCCUGUGGAGCCUUCUCUGCCCCCCCCCCGCGGCCAUUUUGGGGGGGGGCCGUGGGGCUGAGGGGACGCUCCCUGCCCCCGUGUGCUUUGAGGGAAGCUAAUGGGUCGGGGAGGCCUCCGUCCCCCCCGUGGAGGGGGAGGAAUGGAGCCGGAGGGGGGGAGUUCCCUGCUCCCUGUGGGCGUUGGGGGGGGGUGUCGAAGGGGCCAAGGGGCCUCCGCUGUCCUCUGUGUGUUUUAGGGGGGCCGGAGGGGUCCUUCCCCCCCCUCGCCCCGUGGGCAUUUCGAGGGGGGCUGCGGGGGCCUCCGCUGCUCUCUGGCAUGGGGGGCACAUCGGGGGCCGGUGGUCUGAGGGGCUCCAGAUGCCUCCCCCUGCCCUGUGUGUGCUUGGGGGGCAAGGGGGGGCUUCGGGGCCUCUCUCCCCGCUGUGUGCGUGGGGGGCUGGGGCUGUUACCCCUGAGGGCCUGUGGGGCUCGUGCCGCGUCCCCGCAUCUGCCCCACGGUCCCUCUUUCUGCAGGACUCUGUGGCGCGCGACUGCUGCCCGUGAGCCCCUGUAG